rnacentral:rRNA from 1 species
AACGAACGCUGGCGGCAGGCUUAACACAUGCAAGUCGAACGCCCCGCAAGGGGAGUGGCAGACGGGUGAGUAACGCGUGGGAAUCUACCCAGAUCUUCGGAACAACUGAGGGAAACUUCAGCUAAUACCGGAUACGCCCUACGGGGGAAAGAUUUAUCGGUUCUGGAUGAGCCCGCGUUGGGUUAGCUAGUUGGUGGGGUAAUGGCCUACCAAGGCGACGAUCCAUAGCUGGUCUGAGAGGAUGAUCAGCCACACUGGGACUGAGACACGGCCCAGACUCCUACGGGAGGCAGCAGUGGGGAAUAUUGGACAAUGGGCGAAAGCCUGAUCCAGCCAUGCCGCGUGAGUGAUGAAGGCCUUAGGGUUGUAAAGCUCUUUCAGUGGGGAAGAUAAUGACGGUACCCACAGAAGAAGCCCCGGCUAACUUCGUGCCAGCCGCCGCCGUAAGAC